CAGUAGCCGCGGGAAUACGUAGGUGGCAAGCGUUGUCCGGAAUUAUUGGGCGUAAAGGGCUCGCAGGCGGUUUCUUAAGUCUGAUGUGAAAGCCCCCGGCUCAACCGGGGAGGGUCAUUGGAAACUGGGAAACUUGAGUGCAGAAGAGGAGAGUGGAAUUCCACGCGUAGCGGUGAAAUGCGUAGAGAUGUGGAGGAACACCAGUGGCGAAGGCGACUCUCUGGUCUGUAACUGACGCUGAGGAGCGAAAGCGUGGGGAGCGAACAGGAUUAGAUACCCCUGUAGUCCCUGUCUCUUAUAC
rnacentral:rRNA from 1 species